UACGUAGGUGGCAAGCGUUAUCCGGAAUUAUUGGGCGUAAAGAGCGCGCAGGUGGUUAAUUAAGUCUGAUGUGAAAGCCCACGGCUUAACCGUGGAGGGUCAUUGGAAACUGGUUGACUUGAGUGCAGAGGAGGGAAGUGGAAUUCCAUGUGUAGCGGUGAAAUGCGUAGAGAUAUGGAGGAACACCAGUGGCGAAGGCGGCUUCCUGGUCUGUAACUGACACUGAGGCGCGAAAGCGUGGGGAGCAAACAGG
rnacentral:rRNA from 1 species